rnacentral:rRNA from 1 species
GACGAACGCUGGCGGCGUGCUUAACACAUGCAAGUCGAACGGGCCCGCCCCUGUUUUUGGGGGUGGGUUGAGUGGCGAACGGGUGAGUAUCACGUGGGUAACCUGCCCCCUGCUCCUGGAUAACUGCUUGAAAGGGCGGCUAAUACGGGGUGUGCCGGCUGGUCCGCAUGGGCCUGGUCGGGAUAGUUUCAUCUUCGGGUGUUUCGGUGGGGGAUGGGCUCGCGGCCUAUCAGCUUGUUGGUGGGGUGAUGGCCCACCAAGGCGGUGACGGGUAGCCGGCCUGAGAGGGUGGGCGGCCAGACGGGGACUGAGACACGGCCCAGACUCCUGCGGGAGGCAGCAGUGGGGGGUAUUGCACAAUGGGCGGAAGCCUGAUGCAGCGACGUCGCGUGAGGGAUGGAGGCCUUCGGGUUGGGAACCUCUUUCUCCGGUGGUGAAGGCCCUGUCCGUUGCGGCGGGGUUGACGGUAGCCGGGUAUGAAGCGCCGGCUAACUACGUG